rnacentral:rRNA from 1 species
CCUACGGGUGGCAGCAGUGAGGAAUAUUGGUCAAUGGGCGAGAGCCUGAACCAGCCAAGUCGCGUGAGGGAGUACUGCCCUAUGGGUUGUAAACCUCUUUUGUCGGGGAGCAAAAGCCGGACGUUUCCGGCUGUGAGAGUACCCGAAUAAAAAGCAUCGGCUAAAUCCGUUCCAGCAGCCGCGGUAAUACGGAGGAUGCGAGCGUUAUCCGGGUUUAUUGGGUUUAAAGGGUGCGCAGGCGGAUUUUUAAGUCAGCGGUAAAAUCGUGGGGCUCAACCCCAUCCAGCCGUUGAAACUGGGGAUCUAGAGUGUGCGAGAGGUAUGCGGAAUGCGUGGUGUAGCGGUGAAAUGCAUAGAUAUCACGCAGAACCCCGAUUGCGAAGGCAGCAUACCGGUGCACAACUGACGCUCAGGCACGAAAGCGUGGGUAUCGAACAGGAUUAGAUACCCUUGUAGUC